GUGAGCGGAAAUGAACCUAUUUCACACGUGAUGCUAGAGCAUAAGUAAAGUACAGUUGUUGACCCUAAAAACUACCUAGCCUACGUGUUGCGCAGGCUGAGUAAUUAAUAAGGUAACUACGUCAUUCGGUCAAAUGCAGGGUGUGCUCACUCGUCGAUCGAACUUGGUCAGGGAGUAAAAUGAAUGUUGAUGUUUGUGUUGGAUGUGCUGCUAACUUCUGCGUCUUGCGAGUGCGGCUGAAGGAGGAACUCGUCUGGGCCUUUGGGUUCUAGAGCCUGAAGACAAGGUUGCUAGUUUCUUCUAAGUUCACGAAUCGUCGACGCUGGGUUCGGCCUCAGUAAUUAUAUUUGUGAGAAUAUAAGUACGCCGAACUAGUACCAGAUUGUACGGACACAAAUACUCAAAAAAAGAUAAGUGUCUUGAUUGUAAAUGUGGUUCAGCCGUCGCAAUGCCGAACUCUAAAAUGUGCUUACGAAUAUCCAAUCAUAAAAUAAACUCAGCUUUCAAUGUGCCAAGCAUGGUAACACCUCACUCCGCCAAGAAGGCUGAUAAAAUGACCUCUUCCAACAAGGACUCAGAAAUCCUCGUUGAUCGAGACUUGGAUAGAAAACCAGUCAAUCUCAAAGUAGUGUUGUUUAUCCAAACUGAAGAUGUUGUCAGUUGCCUUCACAUUGUUGUUUAUCCAAACUAAAGAUGUCUUGGCGGGGAAAAAGAAAAUAAAAAUCUCAAGUUGUUUGAGAGGUUUGCGCAUGUCAGUUGUGUGUUGAAUUGGAAGGCCCAUUUUUCGCAUUACUGAUGCUUCUGUAUUUAUAUAACAUAUUUACCUUGGCAUAGUCUGACAAUUUUGUGGAGCUCAUUUGCAACUCAAACUAGCGAAACUGAUCUGUGCCAUAGGAGACACAACCAAUUUUUGUGUAGAGUCUAUAGAUGCGUGUGAGUGUUAUCACUAGAAACCUUUAGGAGACACAACUCCUACUAAGGACACCAAGAGGUUUAAAGGCUUGUUACACAUGUUGACUGCAAUUGUUCAGCCAUCGAAAAUGGUAUAGUUAGAUUUUUUUUUUUAGUUUGUUUGUUUUUAGUUUUAGUUUUGCUCUAGCAUUAGCAAAAAUCAAGUUUCGGUGUAUUUGAUAACUCGUAUAUUUCAUACAUUUAUAUCAUCUAUUCCUAGUCUCUUUGUGAUAUUUAUUAGUUAAACUGCUUAAGUUUUAUCCUCUUUUAUGUUGGUGUGCAGUUAAUCAUAUUGUAGAGUCCAUUUUAGGGAAAAUGAGGCAAAAUGGUGCUAAAAGUGGAAAUUAAAUACGAAUGCUAAUGUUGAGAGGGAAUCAAAAGGAGAUAAUUGAAGAUGGUGCUGAGUUGAGGUCUAAUUAAUCUUUAAAGAUGAAUUUGGCCAUUUAGAAGACCAAUAACAGAAAAAGAAAAAUGUGCAAGAUAAAGGCUUAAUUAUUAGGAUAUUUUGACAUUCUGUACACAAUAAGAACCAAACCUCGUUCACGCUUGGAAGCCCAAAGGUUAACGGCGUCUUCUCCAAUGACAGAGGACUCCAAUCGUCAUUCUCCCUCCCGCUCACACUACCUCUCCCUCUUCCUCUCCCUCUGUCUCUCCCUUCCUCUCUCUCUCUCUCUCUCUCUCUCUCUUUCCUCUCUCUCUCUCACAGACUACCUCUCCUUGCUCAAACAACCAUCAACCCAGAGUGGCAAUGGCAAGCUUCGAGCAACAACGACGAGCUGUAAAAUUGAAUAGAAAAGCUAGACAAUCUUGAAAAACAAGGAAUCAGGUUGAAGAGCUGCAUAAAGGACAGCCAUAAGGGCAAAGCCAUACAAAGCAAAGUUUCCAACACCGUGAUGUCAACCAUCUAUGUUCAUUACGAGGACAAGGAAUUGAGAGAAGCACAAGCUCCUCCUAGCUAUCACUGACACGUCUCAGAUGCCUAGAGUGGAAGGAGUUGAUGUCUCUAUCUGAUAUAAAUAAUGUCUCUGUAUAUGCUAAUGACUAUGGUCUAAUAUGGACAUAGAUUGUUUCUCAAAUUGGUAUGAAAGGGUAAAACAAUAUGUGAGAUUCGUCUUAGUCUCAUUUAUAAUUUUGGGUUGGAAUCUAUAAAUCCGUAACGAGCAAGAUACUUUUGUUUUGUAUUUGUAUAUUUUGAUAGCCUCUUUCAAAUCCUCUCUAUAAGUCAAACAAAGUUUACUACCUUAUGUGUUCUGAAGGAAAACAUUUUUGUUUUCAUGUA